ACCACCUUUUCUAAGUCUCUUUUAACUGCCACCAUACCACAAACUGGGGGCUCAAGCGGGAUUGUUAAAAUAGAAAAAGAAUCACUCGGAAAGUUUUUUUCUGAAAACGUCCCGAAAAUCAUCCGCUGAAGAGAAGAACGGAGCCGCGGGCGAGACCUAGACAAGAUGGCCGAACUGGAGGAAACCUUCAAAAAACAUUUCUUGGUGGAAUCCUGGAGAAAAUAAAUUUAAGCAUGUGGUAACACUGAUCAGAAGUUAGAGAGAGUAAUCUUUAACAGUAACGGAGUAACACGUGUUGUUCUAUGAUCUCAAAACACUCACGUGAGUUGACGAACUUUUCAAGAAGAAUUAGACCUUGCCAGAGGACGGAAACGUGAUGGAAUAAAAAUGAAAGGAGAGGACACGAGUGAAGGUAAUCAAAAUCAAAACGAUAUUGAGAACAUCAGGACGAGGGCAUGGACUUCGAAACAUGACUUAAAGAAUCGUCCGUUGUAAAACGGCAACGGCGCAGAGGGCGGGGCCUAGGCAGGAUGUUCGAAUUAAGUGUUUCCGGUUGCUGUCAAAAGAGA